GACAAGGGAAAUUUAGUUGUUUAAUUAAAACAAAGCAUUGCAAUGGUCCCCGCGAAUGCUGAUGCAAUGUAAUUUUUGCCCAGUGCUCUGAAUGUUAAAGUGAAGAAAUUCAACCAAGCGCGGGUAAACAACUAGAGUAAUUAUAACUCUCUUAAGGUAGCCAAAUGCCUCGUCAUCUAAUUAGUGACACGCAUGACUAGAUUAACAAGAUUCCC
rnacentral:rRNA from 1 species